AUGAAUUCAUUCUUCAUCAAAAAAGAGAUCAACCACUGGUGUGAAGAAGCAGAUGUUGCAUUCAUGAGACAGCAACUCUAUUGCUGUAGACAUGAGACAGAACUGAGACCAACAAAGAAGAGUGAAAGUCCAUGCAGCGACCCACUCAUGAGGCUCAUACUCAAGAGCUGACAAUACAUCACUGGCAGCCCAAAGCCCUGAACGGGUUGUAC
rnacentral:lncRNA from 1 species